rnacentral:rRNA from 1 species
AUUGAACGCUGGCGGCAUGCUUUACACAUGCAAGUCGAACGGUAACAGGUUAAGCUGACGAGUGGCGAACGGGUGAGUAAUGCAUCGGAACGUGCCCGGUCGUGGGGGAUAACACUUCGAAAGAAGUGCUAAUACCGCAUACGAUCUGAGGAUGAAAGCGGGGGACCGUAAGGCCUCGCGCGAUCGGAACGGCCGAUGUCAGGUUAGGUAGGUGGUGGGGUAAAGGCUCACAAAGCCGACGAUCUGUAGCUGGUCUGAGAGGACGACCAGCCAUACUGGGACUGAGACACGGCCCAGACUCAUACGGGAGGCAGCAGUGGGGAAUUUUGGACAAUGGGCGCAAGCCUGAUCCAGCAAUGCCGCGUGCAGGAAGAAGGCCUUCGGGUUGUAAACUGCUUUUGUACGGAGCGAAAAGGCUCUCUCUAAUACAGGGGGCUCAUGACGGUACCGUAAGAAUAAGCACCGGCUAACUACGUGCCAGCCGCCGCCGUAA